UGUCAAUGUCACCUGCCUGUUCUUGCGGGAUUUUUGUUUGUUUGCUCAACGUGACAGGAAUCAAACAAGCAUUCUUGGCUGCAAGCUGCUUCUUGCCGUCCUUUGCAUCCUGGGAGACACGACUUUCGCAGACAUGCGACCAGAUGGAGAAGAUAGCUGAACGUGAUGUGCAUGCUCAGAAAUGAGGAUUAACAGCUGUGGACAGGUCUGUUCCAAAGAAGUGAUGAGGCAUCUAUCGAUGAUAAGACUCUCGGAGAACAUUCCACUCUGGCUUGCUGCUGCUUCUUUCCUUUCAUGCUUAUCUCAGCCGCACUUGCACAACUGUCUUCAUUCACUUCCUGUCAUCAUGUAAAAUAAGUAGCAGAGCAAAUUUUUAUUUUUUACAUAUGACUAAAUAUUUUAUAGAAUUUUGUUGUAUUAUAGCCAAAACUUGACAACACCUUCUGAUGCUUUUUAUUUGCGUUGGGGUCAUAUUAUGAUUACAAUCUACGUUUAACACACUUUCCUGUGGUCUACAUCCGAGGUUUUUAACCUUUUUGAUAGGCUCUAGCACCCCCCACGACCCCGAAAGGGACAAGCUGUAGAAAAUGGAUGGAUGGAUGGACCUCAGGGCCCUACUUUUCCACUUAGAGGGGCCCUGGUACUCUUCAAAUAUUACCACCGAAUUAAUCGUUUUAAUCUUGAUUUUAAUCAUGUUCAAUAAUUAUAACUAUCUAAUCUAUAUUUACAGUUUACCAGAAUAAACCUUAUUACAUGAUUUAAAACCAUGUGUUAAUCACAAAGAUUAAUAUCAAGGCUUAGGUCAGGCUGAUUACAAGAAUAAAUACAAAUCAAGUAGAAAAAUAAAUAUAUAUACAAUUACGCAGUACUAAAAUAAACAAUUUUAACUCAAUAAUAAUAAAUAAUAUAUAGGUUUCCUAAAUAAACUGUCAAUAA